rnacentral:rRNA from 1 species
AUGAAGACAGCUAACAAGAUGAAGACAGGAGGCCAAGCCUUUCCGCGGUUGUGCGUUGCUGGCGAGGACCCCCUCCCACCACGACCGCAUCGUGGCGUAGUUCAUCCAAGGAGCGGUGUCAACAUCAAGGUGCAGCCAAGCAAGAACCUCCUACCAAACCCGAAUGGAGAAGCGGCACUUGAACAGGAGGUGCACCGUGGACAUGCUGAGAAGUCUGUAGAAGCGGGUGUAGUCGCUGCCGCCGCCGUCGUCGUCGUCGCGCGCCUCGCCUGCGGCGUCCUUGCUGCAGCCCUAGCCGGGGUCGCCGACACGUGGUGGGGCGCUUGA